UUCACUUGAAUCAAGCUACUCCCAGCUUCUGCACACAUCUGGUCCAACACUACUUUGGGAUAUGUUUUGCUAAGGUUGCUGUUCUGCCUGGAAGGCCCUCAUUCCUCAGCUGCAUGACCCGAGGUUUCCUUCCUCUAAGACCUUGCUAGCGGCUCCUAGAUGCCUUCCAAACCAAAUUCUCUUCUAUGAGAUCAGCUCUUAGCUUUGUAUUCCCUGGCACUUAUGGAGUAUGUUAUGGAGAAAGACUGUCUAGUUGAAGGAAAACAAGCUCUGGGCUCCCACUGAUUCUACGUUAUGAGGAAUUUCUCAAGAUUUUAUCUUUACUGAUUGAUUUCUAAGGGAUGCUACUUGCUUCUAACAUCAUGUUAAUCAGCAAUGUAAGCUCUGGCAUAGCUUACCAACCCUAAGAGUGGCAGGGAGUUGCUCUGUGUAAUGGUGGAGUACUCAGCUGUCUUCUCCAUGGUGGUUGAGUUCUCUGGAUGGGAUCAGCUUUCUUCACAUGUCACUGAAGUGAAAGGGGACAAUUGAAACCUAUUUUGACAGGUUUAAAAGCUAAAGCCAAGCCAGGAAGAGGAAGACAAGAUGAGAAACCCCAAAUCAAGGUAAGAGAAGAAAAUAAGUGCAACAUGCCAGAAAUCCAGUAAAGCAGUUCAAGUAUCAGAAGAGCGUGAAUCAAAACCAAGUGCAAGAAGAGGCACCUUGACAUUGAACUGAAGGCCACCAGUCUCCUGCCAGUGCUUCCAAUCGCUGAACUGAACUGGGAACAAAUCAACAAGGGAAACCAAGAGAUGCAUUCCUUGAAGUUCAGCCUCCAGGCCUCAAGUAAGGCAGAGGAAGAGAAUACAUAGAUCUGUGGAGAAGAGUGGUGAUGGUGGGAGCUGCCAAUAAAGAACUAUCAAAAAAGGAUGAUGCAACAGAAAAGCCGUCACCAGAUACCAGCACCUUAAUGUUGGACUUCUCAGCCUCCAGAACUGUAAGAAAUAAAUCCCUGUUCUUUAUAAAUUACCCAGUCUCAGGUAUCCUGCUAUAGCAGCACAAAAUGGACUAUGAUAGAAAAUUGGUAUGAAGGAGUAGUACCAUUGUUAUAACAAAUACCUAAAAAUGGAAGCCACUCUGGAACUGGGUAAGGGGUAGAGUAUGGAAGAAUUUAGAGGAGCAGGCUAGAAAAAGCCUAAAUUGCUGUGUAUUACUCCAGGAUGGUAAGAAAUAAAUCUCUGUUCUUUAUAAAUUGCCCAGACUCACAGCACAAAACAAAUUAAGACAUUAAGAUUUGCCCCAUUCUUAGAAUUCAUUUCUUCCAUUUUCCCUUUAAUUAAAUCAAUGCCAGCAUCUAAGCAGUGUGCACCUUUUGACCAUAGUCUUUCUAAUUGACCAGAAGCUUAGAUGUGGAAAAUGCAAAAACUAUGCACAUUUCUGAUGGGUUUAACUUCUGAGAAAUUUUUACAAGGUUUUCCUUAUUUUAUCUGCUCCAGUAAACCUGUGGUUUCAUGAACAGGCCUAGAAUUUGAGAUUCAGCUUCUAAACUUCAAAGGUGACCUUUCAACCCAUUUGUUUAUAGACUCGGUAUUAACCUUUUGAGUUCUAGAAUAGGGUUUUAGAACUUACUUUCAUAAAAGUUUAUAUAGUCAAUUCCAUUCAUUUAUGCUAAGGACAUAGAAUAUUUCUAGAUUGCACAAUAUGUUUCUGUGGGAAUUGAAUGGAAAUCCAGGUUUCCUGACAAGAAACAAAGGAUCUUUGGGAGGCCGAGACAGGCGGAUCACGAGGUCAGGAGAUCGAGACCAUCCUGGCUAACA
rnacentral:lncRNA from 1 species